rnacentral:rRNA from 1 species
GACGAACGCUGGCGGCGUGCUUAACACAUGCAAGUCGAACGGAAAGGCCCUGCUUGCAGGGUACUCGAGUGGCGAACGGGUGAGUAACACGUGGGUGAUCUGCCCUGCACUUCGGGAUAAGCCUGGGAAACUGGGUCUAAUACCGGAUAGGAGCCAUUUUUAGUGUGAUGGUUGGAAAGUUUUUUCGGUGUAGGAUGAGCUCGCGGCCUAUCAGCUUGUUGGUGGGGUAAUGGCCUACCAAGGCGGCGACGGGUAGCCGGCCUGAGAGGGUGGACGGCCACAGUGGGACUGAGAUACGGCCCAGACUCCUACGGGAGGCAGAAGUGGGGAAUAUUGCACAAUGGGCGGAAGCCUGAUGCAGCGACGCCGCGUGGGGGAUGAAGGCCUUCGGGUUGGAAACUCCUUUCGCUAGGGACGAAGCUUUUUGUGACGGUACCUAGAUAAGAAGCACCGGCUAACUACGUG